rnacentral:lncRNA from 1 species
GGCGGGAACCCAGGAGGCGGAGCUGGCAGUGAGCCGAGAUCGCGCCACUGCACUCUAGCCUGGGUGACAGAGCAAGACUCUGUCACACACACACACACACACACACACACACACACACACACACAAGUUAACUAGAACAGAUCCCAAGUGGAUAUGGCCAUUUAUCAGAACUGACUUAUCAUUGUCUCCAUGUGGGCUAACAUUCCGCUAGAUUCUCCCAAGUGAAGCUCUUUGCUCACUGAUGGGAAAAAGGGGGGGUUGUCAUUUUAACGUGGAACGCAUAUUUUCACCACAUAAUCAUUUUGCUAGUGGAAAUAAAUGGAAAGUUAUCCAGCUGGACAUGCUACUUAUGAGAACACUACUGAGUAACAAAAGAUUUAUUCAAAUAUUUAAUUGGAAGGAACUACAUCUGGAAUAAGUUUUAAAGGAAUCCAUA